AAUCCGCAUUUGACUCGAAUUAGUUUUCUAGCUGUCGGGAACACUGCAGUCUACGUAUAGGAGUGCACAGCGAGUGCAGUCGAUGCACAUAAAGAGGCCAGGAUAUAGACGAAAAUCAGAGAGAGUAAAAACCGCACACGUAUUCGAGUAGCACAUGAAUAAACUUGAAGCGAAAUCGAGGGCGCAUCGUGAUUUUUUCUUAGCCUCUGGAACUGCACUUGCAACGACUAACUGCAAUUGCACCGUUCUAUACGAACCACCGAUAUACUAUACGCGGAGGUGACGAAGGAGUCAUCAAUUACGUCAAGCGGACAGAAUCAAGCGAGGAGAGAAACCGGGAAUUGAAGUCCACUCGAAACGUCAUCAUCAAGUACUGUUUGAGGACACAUUAAAUGACCAUCAACCGCCACUCCCGAUCCCGGUGACCUCGACUCGAGUCGGUUUGACCUCACAACGAGUGCAACCGCGUAUAUUCUAAUAUUACUUCUCCGACAACAUUCCGCUGCGCAUGGAACCGAGGUGGAUGCUUUUUCCUACUCCCGUAUCACCGCUACCGCCGUCGCAUUGCUUGCAGGGAACUAAGGAGAUGGGCAUUCGUACGCGGUACAUUUACAAGAAUACCUGUAUAAAUUCAACGUGCGUGUGACGAGCAUCUUCUUGAAAUUUAAGAAAUAUGUCGGUAAUAAGUAGGAUGUAUCGUACCCACAUACACACGCUAGUCUGUACACGUCUGUUUCGAAUAUAUGUAUUGUAACGUGGCGUUUUCAGCCCCGUUACUACGGCACCCAAAUCUCCCGG
rnacentral:lncRNA from 1 species